GCCUGUAGCCUUACAUUUCAUGAUGUAAUGCAAGCUUGAGAAAUUGAUGGAAGUUAUUUUCUUCUGAAUCAAAUCAAUUCAUAUGUAAAAGAAAAUACCUUAGCAUGCAAUCUCAAGAGUUGUAUCUUUGGUGCGAAAGGAGGAUCCACCUUUCUUCGUAUGAAUCCACAAUUGGAUUGCACAAUAUAUAGUUGCUUUUUAGACAAGCGCAUAUAGACGAAUAAAUGAGUUUG
rnacentral:lncRNA from 1 species